rnacentral:rRNA from 1 species
CUACGGGGCGCUCCAGUGAGGAAUAUUGCACAAUGGGGGGAACCCUGAUGCAGCAACGCCGCGUGGAGGAUGACGCAUUUCGGUGUGUAAACUCCUUUUAUAUGUCAAGAAAAUGACGGUAGCAUAUGAAUAAGCACCGGCUAACUCCGUGCCAGCAGCCGCGGUAAUACGGAGGGUGCAAGCGUUACUCGGAAUCACUGGGCGUAAAGGGUGCGUAGGCUGUUUGAUAAGUCAGGGGUGAAAUCCCACGGCUCAACCGUGGAACUGCUCUUGAAACUAUUAGACUAGAGUGAGGGAGAGGUAGAUGGAAUUAGUGGUGUAGGGGUAAAAUCCGUAGAGAUCACUAGGAAUACCGAAAGCGAAGGCGAUCUACUGGAACUUAACUGACGCUGAGGCACGAAAGUGUGGGGAGCAAACAGGAUUAGAUACCCGCGUAGUC